rnacentral:rRNA from 1 species
AGUGAACGCUGGCGGUAGGCCUAACACAUGCAAGUCGAACGGCAGCACAGUAAGAGCUUGCUCUUACGGGUGGCGAGUGGCGGACGGGUGAGGAAUACAUCGGAAUCUACUUUUUCGUGGGGGAUAACGUAGGUAAACUUACGCUCAUACCGCAUACGACCUACGGGUGAAAGCAGGGGAUCUUCGGACCUUGCGCGAUUGAAUGAGCCGAUGUCGGAUUAGCUAGUUGGCGGGGUACAGGCCCACCAAGGCGACGAUCCGUAGCUGGUCUGAGAGGAUGAUCAGCCACCCUGGAACUGAGACACGGUCCAGACUCCUACGGGAGGCAGCAGUGGGGAAUAUUGGACAAUGGUCGCAAGCCUGAUCCAGCCAUACCGCGUGUGUGAAGAAGGCCUUCGGGUUGUAAAGCCGUUUUGUUGGGAAAGAAAAGCAGCAGGUUAAUACCCCGCUGUUCUGACGGUACCCAAAGAAUAAGCACCGGCUAACUUCGUG